rnacentral:lncRNA from 1 species
GCACUGCUUCUCAUAUGAAGGCUAUGGGACUGGAGCUCUAUUAACUCCUCUCUGGUUUGUAAGGUCUGAUUUAGAGACCAAAUUACCCACGUGGCACUCCAGAAGGACCCUGUCUGUCCGAUAGCCGUGGGGUUUGAUUUCUCCGCCCUGCCCCCGCAUCAUUCUCAGCAGGGAGCGAUGGGAGAGCCCGAGCCGGUUCUGCAGCCCUUGGAAUGAAUCCGCGCACAGCGAGCCUCCUCUCCCCAGACCACGCCGCCUCCAUAAAUAGACAUCACGUGCCUGCCUUUUACGAUAAGGUCAGAGGAAACGAGCGCACAGGGAGAGGCCGUUCCGAGAGCCGGCGCUCCGAGUUUCGGGGAGUGCACGCGGUCCCCUAGCCUUCUUCCCAGGCAAGGGAAAAGCCCCUUAGUAGAAAGCAUUCCAGAAAGACAAGGAAGGUGGUUCUUUGGAAACUGCUCAUUGGGAAUUGCUCAAUCAGAGAUAUUGCAUCUUCUACAAAUGGAAGGUCCGAGGCAACCCUGCGUCGAUCGAAUCUCUCAGCAUUACUUUUCUGACAGCAUUUGUUCACUUCAUGGUCCUGUGUCACAGAGAUGCUGCUAUUGCAUACUUCAUAGAGUAUAUAGUAUUGUGUAAACGUAACUUUUCUAUGCACUGGGAAGUGAAGAAAUUCCUGUGACUCCCUUUAUUCUGAUAUUCACUUUAUUGCGUUGGUCUGGAAGCAGACCCCUGCUGUCUCUGAGGUCUGCCUGUAUUCCUGAAGAAGGAGGUCCUAUCUAACACAGCAGAUUCGGGCCUUAAGCCUCAGAGACAGCCCAACCGUGGGGCCGAAAGAGACUGUGCAAGAAUGCUUAUAAUGACUCAAGGCCAAAAUGAAAGAUUCAGGCUCUCAGGAAAAUAACAAUACAUCACCAAAACAAGAAGAGGCAGAUCUGAGCCAUAUUUACAGAUGAAAUGAUAUGGUAUCUGCGAUUGCCUUCAAAAUAAUCUCAGGGUGGACAGCUGUGGGAAGGAUUGUGUGUUAAACAGACUGGCUGUGAGUUAAUACUCGGAGGGCGCAUGAGUAAGUACAUAGGGGUUUCUUAUUCUAUGGCCUCUAAUUUUAUAUACCUCUGAAACAGCCACAGUAAAAAUCAACAGCAGGAGUUCCCAUUUGAGGCAGCAGGUGAAGGAUCAAGCGUUGUCUCUGAGGCAGCAUGGGUCCAAUCCCCAGCCUGGUGCAGUGGGUUAAGGAUCUGGCAUUGCCAAGCUGUGGCUUGGAUUGGAUCCCUAGCCUAGGAACUUCCACAUGCCAUGCCAUGGGUGCGGCAUAAAAAAA